UAAUGUUCUGCUGUUGGAGGACGGCUACCGUUGCAGAUGACAGCUGAGUACCAACACAGACAGACAAAAACAACAUUGCUCCUGAGACAACCCUGAGGAAACCCAGAUUCUCGGCUAAAGAUCUACAACCUGAGAGAAAUGGUGUGAUUAAUCAUCAAUGCCUCCAGGUAUGUGGUGUUGAAGAUCCGGGCUGCAGUGAGAGGAAAUGGGCAGCCACGGAAAACCAGCACCUCCACCUGUAACCAGGCAAAAGGAGAAAUGGAUGGCAGGCGGAGCGCUGAAGGUUCAGCGUUGGUUCCCCAACGGACACAGACAGCGGAUGUCGUGCUGAAGGAAGAGUGUGGCUCGUGAAAAUAAAGUGAGCGCUUGAGAGUAGUGUGGAAGGUCUAUAAUGAGGAAACAAACACAAUUCACACACACAUAAAAAACAAAGACAGACUCUUCAAAUAUAAUUAAAAUAGAAGCAAUUCCACAAGGCUGAUUUAUCUAAAUGUCAUCUUCCCCUUUGGAUCCCUGGCAUGUAUGUGUCGGUUCUUUCCGAAGUCUCACCACCAAAAAACCCUGACAAAUAUAUACUGAACUGCAUUACACUCCCACCUGCUCCCAGCUCUCGUUUAUUUCCACGCUUGUUCUGCAUCCAGUGCCAAGAUAGUUGCAGAGAGGAUGAAAGCCUGAUCCUCAAUUCCUCAGAAGAGGAAUGGAUCAGUCUGGAUAAAUAUUGAAGACUCUGCUGAUAAAGUUGUGCCAAGUCGUAUAUUCAUGUUCAAAAAAUGUUUAAACUAUUAAUUAAAGCAAAAAGCACAGUUA